AAGUCAUGAAAGGAGCAAUCCGCUGUAAGAUGGGCCCGCGGCGCAUUAGCUAGUUGGUGAGGUAAGGGCUCACCAAGGCGACGAUGCGUAGCCGACCUGAGAGGGUGAUCGGCCACAUUGGGACUGAGACACGGCCCAGACUCCUACGGGAGGCAGCAUG
rnacentral:rRNA from 1 species